rnacentral:rRNA from 1 species
CGCGUAGGCGGAAAGCCAAGCCUGAUGUGAAAUACCCCGGCUCAACUGGGGAGACGCGUUGGGAACUGGUUUUCUUGAGUAUAAGAGGGGAUGUUGGAAUUCCAGGUGUAGGGGUGAAAUCUGUAGAUAUCUGGAAGAACACCGGUGGCGAAGGCGAACAUCUGGCUAUAUACUGACGCUGAGGCGCGAAAGCGUGGGGAGCGAACAGGAUUAGAUACCCUGGUAGUCC